rnacentral:rRNA from 1 species
UACGUAGGGAGCAAGCGUUGUUCGGAUUUACUGGGCGUAAAGGGCGCGUAGGCGGCAGAUCAAGUCAGUUGUGAAAUCUCUGAGCUUAACUCAGAACUGUCAACUGAUACUGCUCUGCUAGAGUGCGGAAGGGGCAAUCGGAAUUCUUGGUGUAGCGGUGAAAUGCGUAGAUAUCAAGAGGAACACCUGAGGUGAAGACGGGUUGCGGGGCCGACACUGACGCUGAGUGCGCGAAAGCCAGGGGAGCAAACGGG